rnacentral:lncRNA from 1 species
GUCACUUAGCCGAAAUGGGCGAGCUUUCUCCCAUUUUCGGCCAUAGCUAGCUUCCGACCUCCCUCUCCCCAGAUCUUGUGUUCUUUCUUCAAAUCUCCUCCAUUUUUCUUGAGUUUUCACCUCUCAUUGCAAGUUUUGAGCAUUUAAGACAAGUUUUGGAGCUUUGGGAACUCAGGAGCUCUUUUGCUUGGAUCUCCGAGUUUAGGUCGUCUCUCUCUCGAUCUUCAAGAGGUAAGAGCCGAUCUUAAGCUCAUUAUAUGUUUUAAGUAAGUUUUAUGCAAGAUCUUUGGGGUAGAGAUGCAUGUGUAGGUUUUUAGUGAGUUAUGGAUGAUUUUUGAGUUUAUGCAAAUGUGGCUUGCAAAUGCUUGUGUAUGUGUGUUGUAGUUGGGGUUUAAGGUAGUUUGAGACCCCUAGGAGCUUGUAUGCAUG